UUCAAAAUAGACAGGAUAAUAUUAUGAUGAUAAAUGGUGAUAAAUCACUUAAAAGGUUAAAUAGGGAGAAAAAUGAAUUUGGGGACUGCCAUAAAAGUAGCACUGGGUCUUUAUGGGUUAAUGAGUCAGUGUCAGUCAGCUGUUAUUUUGUCUUUUACCUGGUGUUCGCAGAAGUGGUUCAACCUUUUCUUUAAUAUUUGCAUAAUCACACAAAAUGUAGCAUUUUUUGUUUGGUUGGUGUUUGGUUGUGGAAUUACUGAAGAGGAUUAGGGCCACUGAAAAAAAGGUCCAAUAUAUAUAUUUUU